rnacentral:misc_RNA from 1 species
AGAUAAACUAAAAAUGUUCAGUUCAAAAUCAGCUGCUAAACUUAAAAAUUUGUGUUCAAUACAUAUUCUAAAAAACUAUAGUUCAAAAAAUUCAAGAAUAAUGAGUAACUGGGAAACAGAAAAACGUAAAUAUUUAACCAUGGACUUGGAAGAAAAACGCAAAUUAUAUAAAUCAUACCAAACAGUGCAUGAUAUUCCUACUUGGAAAGAAUUCGCGGAUGCAAAGAAACUUUUGCCAAAAUUAGAUAUGUUACCGGGUUGUGAAAUAGAUAAGUCGAAAAAUCAUAGCUUGGUUAAUAAGAUUUCUUACUUUAGCGGAGAUAUUACGCAUCUUGAGAUUGAUGCUAUCGUGAACGCAGCCAAUUCUUCUCUUCUUGGAGGUGGUGGAGUAGAUGGAGCAAUUCAUAGAGCGGCCGGAUCUCUGUUGAAGGAAGAAUGUAAAACAUUAGGAGGAUGUCAAACAGGCGAAGCCAAAAUUACCGGCGGAUAUAAAUUACCGGCAAAAUACGUAAUCCACACUGUUGGUCCACGCGGAGAGAAAACAGAUUACCUAAGAAAUUGUUACAAGAAUAGCUUGGAAGUGAUGCUGGACAACAAGCUAAGAACCAUUGCUUUCCCGUGCAUAUCCACAGGGAUCUAUGGUUACCCGAAUCUCCCAGCCGCCCACGUGGCUGCAUACACAGUCCGUAAACAUUUAGAAGCCCAUGAAGGAGACAUCGAUAGAGUGAUAUUCUGCCUAUUUAUGGAUGAGGAUAAGAAAAUUUAUGAAGAGCUGUUACAGUCUUACUUUCCAUUAGAAUAGUUUCUGAUGAACUGGUAAAUGACUUUUUGUAAGCUUAUUGUAAUUAUGGCUGGUUAUUGUUAUAUUUUCGAUAUUUGUAGAUAUUAAUAAUUUUAAAUAUCAAAUUAUUGGAGCCAUUUAGUAAAAUGAAAAUUUUGAUUUUAAAACGCUAUAAAAUGUUGGAGGGCUGAUCAAGUAUGAAUCAACCUUUUUUAACUACUUUUUAAGUAAUGAGAAUUAUAAUUUAUGAACAA